UGGGGAAUAUUGCACAACGGGCGAAAGCCUGAUGCAGCAACGCCGCGUGAGUGAUGAAGGCCUUCGGGUUGUAAAGCUCUGUCUUUUGGGACGAUAAUGACGGUACCAAAGGAGGAAGCCACGGCUAACUACGUGCCAGCAGCCGCGGUAAUACGUAGGUGGCAAGCGUUGUCCGGAUUUACUGGGCGUAAAGGAUGCGUAGGCGGAUUUUUAAGUGAGAUGUGAAAACCCUAAGCUUAACUUGGGGACUGCAUUUCAUACUGGAAAUCUAGAGUGCGGGAGGGGAGAAUGGAAUUCCUAGUGUAGCGGUGAAAUGCGUAGAGAUUAGGAAGAACACCAGUGGCGAAGGCGAUUCUCUGGACCGUAACUGACGCUGAGGCAUGAAAGCGUGGGUAGCAAACAGGAUUAGAUACCCUGGUAGUCCACGCCGUAAACGAUGAGUACUAGGUGUAGGAGGUAUCGACCCCUUCUGUGCCGCAGUUAACACAAUAAGUACUCCGCCUGGGAAGUACGAUCGCAAGAUUAAAAACUUAAAGGAAUUGAC
rnacentral:rRNA from 1 species